UACGUAGGGUGCGAGCGUUGUCCGGAAUUAUUGGGCGUAAAGAGCUCGUAGGCGGUGUGUCACGUCGGCCGUGAAAACCUGCAGCUUAACUGUGGGCGUGCGGUCGAUACGGGCAUCACUGGAGUUCGGCAGGGGAGACUGGAAUUCCUGGUGUAGCGGUGAAAUGCGUAGAUAUCUGGAGGAAUACCGGUGGCGAAGGCGGCAUCCUGGACCGGCAUUGACGCUGAUGAGCGAAAGCUAGGGGAGCAAACGGG
rnacentral:rRNA from 1 species